GAUUAAGUUAUUAAGGGCGCACGGUGGAUGCCUUGGCACUAGAAGCCGAUGAAGGACGUUACUAACGACGAUAUGCUUUGGGGAGCUGUAAGUAAGCUUUGAUCCAGAGAUUUCCGAAUGGGGAAACCCAGCAUGAGUUAUGUCAUGUUAUCGAUAUGUGAAUACAUAGCAUAUCAGAAGGCACACCCGGAGAACUGAAACAUCUUAGUACCCGGAGGAAGAGAAAGAAAAUUCGAUUCCCUUAGUAGCGGCGAGCGAAACGGGAAGAGCCCAAACCAACAAGCUUGCUUGUUGGGGUUGUAGGACACUCUAUACGGAGUUACAAAGGACGACAUUAGACGAAUCAUCUGGAAAGAUGAAUCAAAGAAGGUAAUAAUCCUGUAGUCGAAAAUGUUGUCUCUCUUGAGUGGAUCCUGAGUACGACGGAACACGUGAAAUUCCGUCGGAAUCUGGGAGGACCAUCUCCUAAGGCUAAAUACUCUCUAGUGACCGAUAGUGAACCAGUACCGUGAGGGAAAGGUGAAAAGCACCCCGGAAGGGGAGUGAAAUAGAACCUGAAACCGUGUGCUUACAAGUAGUCAGAGCCCGUUAAUGGGUGAUGGCGUGCCUUUUGUAGAAUGAACCGGCGAGUUACGAUUUGAUGCAAGGUUAAGCAGUAAAUGUGGAGCCGUAGCGAAAGCGAGUCUGAAUAGGGCGUUUAGUAUUUGGUCGUAGACCCGAAACCAGGUGAUCUACCCUUGGUCAGGUUGAAGUUCAGGUAACACUGAAUGGAGGACCGAACCGACUUACGUUGAAAAGUGAGCGGAUGAACUGAGGGUAGCGGAGAAAUUCCAAUCGAACCUGGAGAUAGCUGGUUCUCUCCGAAAUAGCUUUAGGGCUAGCCUCAAGUGAUGAUUAUUGGAGGUAGAGCACUGUUUGGACGAGGGGCCCCUCUCGGGUUACCGAAUUCAGACAAACUCCGAAUGCCAAUUAAUUUAACUUGGGAGUCAGAACAUGGGUGAUAAGGUCCGUGUUCGAAAGGGAAACAGCCCAGACCACCAGCUAAGGUCCCAAAAUAUAUGUUAAGUGGAAAAGGAUGUGGCGUUGCCCAGACAACUAGGAUGUUGGCUUAGAAGCAGCCAUCAUUUAAAGAGUGCGUAAUAGCUCACUAGUCGAGUGACACUGCGCCGAAAAUGUACCGGGGCUAAACAUAUUACCGAAGCUGUGGAUUGUCCUUUGGACAAUGGUAGGAGAGCGUUCUAAGGGCGUUGAAGCAUGAUCGUAAGGACAUGUGGAGCGCUUAGAAGUGAGAAUGCCGGUGUGAGUAGCGAAAGACGGGUGAGAAUCCCGUCCACCGAUUGACUAAGGUUUCCAGAGGAAGGCUCGUCCGCUCUGGGUUAGUCGGGUCCUAAGCUGAGGCCGACAGGCGUAGGCGAUGGAUAACAGGUUGAUAUUCCUGUACCACCUAUAAUCGUUUUAAUCGAUGGGGGGACGCAGUAGGAUAGGCGAAGCGUGCGAUUGGAUUGCACGUCUAAGCAGUAAGGCUGAGUAUUAGGCAAAUCCGGUACUCGUUAAGGCUGAGCUGUGAUGGGGAGAAGACAUUGAGUCUUCGAGUCGUUGAUUUCACACUGCCGAGAAAAGCCUCUAGAUAGAAAAUAGGUGCCCGUACCGCAAACCGACACAGGUAGUCAAGAUGAGAAUUCUAAGGUGAGCGAGCGAACUCUCGUUAAGGAACUCGGCAAAAUGACCCCGUAACUUCGGGAGAAGGGGUGCUCUUUAGGGUUAACGCCCAGAAGAGCCGCAGUGAAUAGGCCCAAGCGACUGUUUAUCAAAAACACAGGUCUCUGCUAAACCGUAAGGUGAUGUAUAGGGGCUGACGCCUGCCCGGUGCUGGAAGGUUAAGAGGAGUGGUUAGCUUCUGCGAAGCUACGAAUCGAAGCCCCAGUAAACGGCGGCCGUAACUAUAACGGUCCUAAGGUAGCGAAAUUCCUUGUCGGGUAAGUUCCGACCCGCACGAAAGGCGUAACGAUUUGGGCACUGUCUCAACGAGAGACUCGGUGAAAUCAUAGUACCUGUGAAGAUGCAGGUUACCCGCGACAGGACGGAAAGACCCCGUGGAGCUUUACUGUAGCCUGAUAUUGAAAUUCGGCACAGCUUGUACAGGAUAGGUAGGAGCCUUUGAAACGUGAGCGCUAGCUUACGUGGAGGCGCUGGUGGGAUACUACCCUAGCUGUGUUGGCUUUCUAACCCGCACCACUUAUCGUGGUGGGAGACAGUGUCAGGCGGGCAGUUUGACUGGGGCGGUCGCCUCCUAAAAGGUAACGGAGGCGCUCAAAGGUUCCCUCAGAAUGGUUGGAAAUCAUUCAUAGAGUGUAAAGGCAUAAGGGAGCUUGACUGCGAGACCUACAAGUCGAGCAGGGUCGAAAGACGGACUUAGUGAUCCGGUGGUUCCGCAUGGAAGGGCCAUCGCUCAACGGAUAAAAGCUACCCCGGGGAUAACAGGCUUAUCUCCCCCAAGAGUUCACAUCGACGGGGAGGUUUGGCACCUCGAUGUCGGCUCAUCGCAUCCUGGGGCUGUAGUCGGUCCCAAGGGUUGGGCUGUUCGCCCAUUAAAGCGGUACGCGAGCUGGGUUCAGAACGUCGUGAGACAGUUCGGUCCCUAUCCGUCGUGGGCGUAGGAAAUUUGAGAGGAGCUGUCCUUAGUACGAGAGGACCGGGAUGGACAUACCUCUGGUGUACCAGUUGUCGUGCCAACGGCAUAGCUGGGUAGCUAUGUGUGGACGGGAUAAGUGCUGAAAGCAUCUAAGCAUGAAGCCCCCCUCAAGAUGAGAUUUCCCAACUUCGGUUAUAAGAUC
rnacentral:rRNA from 1 species